UAGACAGAGUUUUGCUCUGUUGCCCAGGCUGGAGUACAGUGGCAUGAUCUCAACUCACUGCAACCUCCGCCUUCCGGGUUCAAGCAGUUCUCCUGCCUCAGCCUCCCAAGUAGCUGGGAUUACAGGCACCCGCCACCACGCCUGGCUAAUUUUUGUGUUUUUAGUAGAGGCGGGGUUUCACCAUGUUGGCCAGGCUGGUCUCGAACACCUGACCUCAGGUGAUCCACCUGCCUUGGCCUCCCAAAGUGCUGGGAUUACAGGUGUGAGCCACUGUACCUGGCCCAUUUGCUACUUUUUCUUGGCUGGGUUUUGGUUAUUUAUAGAUAUCUUGGGGAUUUUCCGGUUUCUGUAAGUCUAAUGGAGCAAGGAGGGUGUUCCUGUAUUCCUUUUUUGCUGUCACUUUUGGUAGAGAAGCAAGGGCGUUCCGUGUUCCUGUGCAUGCCAUAUGUCUGUCCUGUAGCAUCACGAGUGACCUGAAGCAGGAGGGGCCUGCAGCGGAAUCUCCCUUCUCAGCUAGGACAAGGUUCGUGGCCCAGAGUUGUUGGAGAGGACGGUGGCACUCUGUGCAGAGCAGGUGUCAGUGAGGAUGUGGUGCUGGCUUGGGCAAUGGUGCUGGCCGGGAGCUGACUGCGGCCUGCUUCCUGCCGUGGAGGCACCUGGGUCAGCCAUCUGCCAGUGGCUUCUGCUGGGGUGUCUUCCUGAGUGGCUCACCUGGUGCUUGCAGGGCAGGUGGAUAAGGGAAUGCUGUUGCCAUGGUUUGAACAAGCAGAGACAGAUUUGGUGUGCCUUACUUGUAGAUACAUACAUAGAGGAAUCUCAGAUUUCAUAACGUCUUGAGGAUUGUCUGUAUUCAUUUCUUACCGGGAGGGCAGGCUCCAGGGACCGAGUCCUUGUUCCUUGUUUGUUAGGCACUAUCGCUCUUGUCCAUGUUUCAAGAACUUGGGGUGCAGUGUGUUUCGUGUGAAUCGGGGGCAUCUGUAGACAUCCACAUGGUAAAAACCUCCGUUCUGCUUUGGGUAUUAAAUAAAGCACAGAUCCGAGAUGGCAACAAACCGAAAGGAAGGCUGAAGCGGAGGCCCCCACUGUGAAUGCAGGAAAGAGGUUCCGUCAGCACAGGGGGCCAAAGCCUCAGGAUGGAGCUGCCUGGGGAGCCACUUUGCUGAAGAGCGGGCCGUGCCACGUGGUGCCGCCUGCUGUUCUUAGACAGGACUCUUGGACCUCACUGAAUCUGCUGUGGAAGGACAUUCCGAAGUGGCGUUUCAGUGGUGAGGUGGCAGUGGUGGGAUUGAAGGAGCCCGGCUUGUGGAGCAGCCACGUGCUGAAGGGCACAGCAGACGGCGUGCAGUGGGCUGAGAGGGGCCGUGGGCCUGGCUCUGCUGCUUCCUUAGGUGGAGUUUUCAGUGACUGCAGAACUCUGCACAGCUGCUUUUCAUUCUCACGUCCGCCGCCCCCCCCCUCCCGCCCCCAAUCUUUGAAACUAACUUUGAUCAUUCCCUCCUGGGUAGCUCUGUUGGUGCUGUAUAAGUUCGGUUUUCAAUUGGUUCUCAGCACCCAGGGGGUGACCACCUCAACCCCAUCUCUACUAUGCCAGGGGCUCAUCCCACUCACCCAGCCUCGCCACUGUUCUCUCGUGUGAGCCUCACAUGGCAGGCCCAGUUCCAUGCCCCUGCUUCCCCCUUGCUGGGAACGCUGUCCUCAGGCUCCCCUGCCUGCUCUUUCUUUAGCUUUCACCUUCUCCAGAGCCUUCUGUUCUCUCCAGCCCAGGGCAGUCCUCUGAACCACUCAUGUACGAGCUCACAGUGUUUGGUGUUUCUAAGACCUGGCCUCUUAGAUUGUGUGUGAAGAUGGUGUAUGGGAGAUCUUGGACCUGUAGGUGCAGGUCACAAAGAACACAGAGCUUGGUGCAUGACAUGUAGCAGGAUCCAGCGGUUGAAUGGAUGGUGGUGUGUGACUCUGGGGAAAGAGAUCCGUCCAUACACAUUCAGCGUUUCCCUCCCCAGCUUCAGCACCUGCACCCUGGAUCCCCUGGAGGGCACAGUGCGCUCGCAGCAUGCCGGCCUGGUGCUCGUGGAUCGUGGCUGCCUAACGCUGCCUCUUUUUCAGAUUCUCAUUCAGAUUGUGGAUGCCUCGUCAGUCAUCACUUGGGAUUUCGACGUGUGCAAAGGGGACAUUGUGUUUAACAUCUAUCACUCCAAGAGGUCGCCACAACCACCCAAAAAGGACUCCCUGGGAGCCCACAGCAUCACCUCUCCGGGUGGGAACAACGUGCAGCUCAUAGACAAAGUCUGGCAGCUGGGCCGCGACUACAGCAUGGUGGAGUCGCCUCUGAUCUGCAAAGAAGGAGAAAGCGUGCAGGGUUCCCAUGUGACCAGGUGGCCGGGCUUCUACAUCCUGCAGUGGAAAUUCCACAGCAUGCCUGCGUGCGCCGCCAGCAGCCUUCCCCGGGUGGACGACGUGCUCGCGUCCCUGCAGGUCUCUUCGCACAAGUGUAAAGUGAUGUACUACACCGAGGUGAUCGGCUCGGAGGAUUUCAGAGGUUCCAUGACGAGCCUGGAGUCCAGCCACAGCGGCUUCUCCCAGCUGAGUGCCGCCACCACCUCCUCCAGCCAGUCCCACUCCAGCUCCAUGAUCUCCAGGUAGUGCCGCGCUGCCUGCACCUAGUGUGCAGAGGGGACGGCCGCCCCUCCUCGGACAGCCAGCUGCACCCGCCCACCCAGCGGCGACAUUGUACAGACUCCUCUCACCUCUAGAUAGCAAAUAGCUCUCAGAUGGUAAACGUAGUCGUUUGAUCCCAAAACUACCUUGGCAGGUAGUUUUAACUCUGAUCCUAACUUAACUCAAUAGCCAUAGAUUUUGUAUACGUUGUGCACAAAAUCCAACCAGAGCGCAAGGGCUCUCUUGAAAGAAAAGUAGUUUCUGUACCAAUUAAAGGAUUGACGUGGUCUCAG
rnacentral:sRNA from 1 species